rnacentral:tRNA from 2 species
GCCUGGGUGGCGGAAUAGGUAGACGCAAGGGACUUAAAAUCCCUCGCUCGUAAGGGCGUGCCGGUUCGAUUCCGGCUCCAGGCACCA